AUGCUGCAUUCUGCCCUCUACAGAGCUACCUCCUUUGUAAAACAAACAAGCUGCUGUGAGUUUCCUCUGCCAACUAACUGCUUUACCACAGGUAGUGAACAGCAGGAUAUGUCAGUGGAGACCCUAGUCCCCACCCCUUUCCCCAUUUCUGCUUUGAUUUUUUUGGAAGCAUUUUUAUGUCAUGGCCGGCUCAGGGCAAGUGUCUCUAACUGCAGGACAGAACAUUCUAUUAAUCACCAGAGAAUCCUGCCAACUGCUGGAGGAAGAGGAACUUCAUGGACUGGAAAAAUCAGUUUCCUGAAAGGCACCUAUAAGGAUGCUGGAAGAAAAUGCCAUCCAUAGAACAGGACCUCACCAGAGACAAAUCUGCCUGACAACAUGAUCAUGGACUUUCCAGCCUCAAGAAUACUGAGGAAUAAAUUUCUACUGUUUAUAACACCCAGCCUGUGGAAUUUUGUUACAGCAGCAGGAAUCGUCUAAGGCAAUAUUUAUUCAUAGAAACAUAUUCUCAUCUAUAAAUAGGCCAUAGCAUAUACGUUGAUAGAAGCACAGAAAAAAAAAACUGCUUUAAUUUUAUACACAUUUUGUUAAACACAGUUCUACUCUUUACACGUUCAUAUAUCAUGCUUGUUGUGGCAGCCAUGGAGUGGAGCUGCUUGGCUUUUCUUUCAAGAAGGAACUUACUGCAAGAAGUUUAGUUAGCUGAUGGCACCCUAAUGCAGUACCUUUUCGACCUGGUACAGUCUUUAAGGUACCGUUGCUCUCACUGGGAAGUUUCCAGUCAAUGAAUAAGUGUGAUGGGAGUGCUAGGGCUCAGCCAUUUCUGCAAAACAUACACCUUCGCUAUGGGACAUCUUUGCACCAGAGUCUCUCAUUCAUUUAAGAGCAAGACUUGCAGCUGCACCAUAGCCUAAGACUCUUCCCACUCAGUCCCUGCUCCUACCCACUGUCCAGUCACAGUACUUGCUCUAGAAGUAGUACAUCCUGAUUUGAAGGCUUUCCUUCCUACUCUUGCCAUUGCUACCCUUCAUCUUCCACAAGUGUAACCCCCUAGCAAAUCUCCAGCACUUGCUACUAUCUUAACUUCUAUUUCUUGGAGGAUCUGAAUUGACACCAGGUAAAUAAAUAUUCUUGCCCAAAAGGAACUUAGAAU
rnacentral:lncRNA from 1 species